GACGGAGGAUGCAAGCGUUAUCCGGAAUUAUUGGGCGUAAAGCGUCCGUAGGCGGUUUCAAAAGUCUGUUGUUAAAGCCCACAGCUCAACUGUGGAUCGGCAAUGGAAACUGUGAGACUAGAGAGUGGUAGGGGUAGAGGGAAUUCCUAGUGUAGCAGUGAAAUGCGUAGAUAUGCGGAGGAACACCGAUGGCGAAGGCAAUCCCCUGGACCUGUACUGACGCUCAUGCACGAAAGCGUGGGGAGCAAACAGG
rnacentral:rRNA from 1 species